UGCGUAGGCGGCGCGGUAAGUCGGGUGUGAAAUCUCGGAGCUUAACUCCGAAACUGCAUUCGAUACUGCCGUGCUUGAGGACUGGAGAGGAGACUGGAAUUUACGGUGUAGCGGUGAAAUGCGUAGAUAUCGUAAGGAAGACCAGUGGCGAAGGCGGGUCUCUGGACAGUUCCUGACGCUGAGGCACGAAGGUCAGGGGAGGCAAACG
rnacentral:rRNA from 1 species